CUACACUCCUCAUUGAAUCUCACAUGGGUUUGAACUUUUGUUGGAUUCAUCGAAUUAAUAUUUGAACGAGUUAGCAACUACGUUGUUUACCUCACCAUAUUUGGUGCAUUGGAAUUCAGACUCCGAGAACCAAUCAAUUUAAAACGUGCUUUGCGCGAAUUGCGCUGUUUAUUAAAAUGUGGAAAGAAGACAUAGAAAGGGGCUUUUAUCUACUGAGAUGGAGACUCCCAUCGAUCGACUUCGGGAGACCAGGUUCUUUUUUCAAUAGCCAUCACAGACUAAAAUAUUGAAAAAUAAAGGGAGUGGAGCUACUCAGCACUUCAAUAAGUUCAACUGAGAUUUGAUUUACAAGAGUAACUUGGAAUAAGACAACAUUAUAAUAAAGGAGGACAGAAAUUAAGACGAAGAUUGGUUGCAACUGAAAAGAAGAACUGGACAGAGGAGAAGAGAACAUUGGUGAAAAAGUUUCUUAGCCAUAAACAAUCAUAUAAGUAUAUGUCAAGUGAUGAAGAAGGAGCAGAUGGCUUUAUUUCGCACCCAUACUCCUGGGAAAGUGACACUUGGAAGAAUGUGAAAGACAGUUUGAACAAGAAAUAUUUAGAGACAUGUCCACCCCGGAGUAGGCGACUCGUUCAAAAGAGAACAAAAGGUUCAGCAAAAGAACAGCCAACACCAGAAUUUGAAGAGGAGUUUUCCUGGGUUUUUAAAUGAACUAAUAUUAAUUUUUGUUUAUGUUGAUGCUGUAUAUAAACUUUUUAAACAUGUAAAUUAACAUUAUCCAUAUGUGUUUUAUCUUAAUUUUAAAAAUUUUAAAAUUAUAGUUUAAGAGAAUUAUUGAGUGAAGUAUAUUCUUAGCACAUAUGUGCAAUCAACAUUUUUGACUUCUCUGUAAAAAGAACUUUUUUAAUUUAUAAAUUUUACUUUUGAAAUUUAACAUGUAUGCAGAUAUAUGUAAAUGCAUAUAGUGUAAAUAACUGUGAUUUUUUAGCUGUAAAUCAUAACAGACCAGGUGAGAAAUGUUCAAACUUAUAGAAAAUGUAUGCCCUGAAUUGUUAAUAUGUAAAUCAGUACUUUUUUUGAAAUUGAUUUCCUGUUGUCAUUGUUAAGUUGUCAGCUGCAGUAUGUGUAGCUCUUUAGAAGAACUGUAUGGGAAAUAUUUUGUACAGCAGUAGUCCCUUUUAAAUUUAUUUUACUUCAAAUGUUUUGUGGCAUUAUUAAUUUGUAUUAAAAGAAAAGAUAACCUGC